ACCGUGGCCUGGCAAGAUCGGACGUUUUCCGAGGAACCCGGCUGAGCUCCUGUGAGAGCUGCUCCCUGCACUGAUGUGGUCCCUUGGCUGGCAGGCUGCUCUGUGAUCAACCAGGUGACACCUGCCUGUUAUGAGGGACAGGUAGGAGAGGAUGGGCUUUCCAUCAAAACAAACAAAAAAAAGUCCAGAAUUUCUGAUAAUAUCACUUCUUUUCCAGAGUCCCAAGAAGGAACUCGGCUCUUCAGAGAUUCAGGACUCAGGAGAAGACUUCGUAGUGAGAGUUGACGUAGAAGUUGACAGCCCAAACCCCACACCAGUUCUUAGAAGUAUUGAUCUCCAAGAAAGAGCAGAAAGAGCUACAACUCCUGCUCCCAGGGACUUACAGGUCCCAGAAUGAGAAAGUCCCUCUUUAGUGGAUCUAGAGAAUCUAUUCGUUAAACCUGGAGAAGAACAUGAGGUUAUAGUUUCUUUUUCUCCAAGGGAUCCCAAAGUUUGGGAGGAAAGGAUCUAAAAAAUGUUUGUGCAGCCAUUUGGACCUCAGUAUGAAGUGGUGUUAAAAGGUGAAGUCCAUUCUUCAGGAAGUAAACCUCUGCCACGUGGAUCAUGCUCAGACAUCCUAUUGAAGUUUGUCCAACAAUUUCUUGCUUUGGAAGGUGUCUCUCUUGGUGGAACACAGUUUCACCUUUUGCUGGAACUCAGAGCUACAAAUGAUGCUUAAUGUACCAAUGCCUUCUGACUGAACUCCUCUCUGCCCUGAAUACAAGAGACCCUAAUAGUUAUGUGGAAAUAUCAUCGCCCCGUUCAGCAUGAAGAAGUUACAAAAGAUGGACCUUCAUCCUUCUGCAACCCUUAGGAUUAAGGGUCCUCUUGUAAAAGGGAGGGGAAAUAUGUAAGAAGCAUUCAAACCAGAGCGACUCCAUUUUGAACAAGGGCUAAGAAAAAUGAAGCUGGGUCCUGUUGGGCUGCAUGCCCAGGAGGUUAAGCAUUCUUAGCCUCAAGAUGUUUACAAUUGAGGGAACAGAUUAAUAAUGUUUCCUAAACAGACUCAGGACUUAACAGACUCAGGAACGUCUUGAUACUUUGAGAACAAAAGCACUUCUAGUUUUAAAUACGCAUUGUACCUAGGCUGGAUGCUUUUCUUACUUUUGGAAAUGCCCUACCCUGUCUAUGGAGUCACUAUUCAUUCCCUCCUUUAUUAAAGUUGCUUCUAUUUUGCACUGUG
rnacentral:lncRNA from 1 species